CCCUUAGAUGUUCUGGGCCGCACGCGCGCUACAAUGGCAGACUCAGCGAGUUACCUCUGUCGAAAGGCACAGGGAAUCUUUACAGUAUCUGCCGUGCUGGGGAUAGACCCUUGUAAUUUUUGGUCUUCAACGAGGAAUUCCUAGUAAACGCAAGUCAUUAACUUGCAUUGAUUACGUCCCUGCCCUUUGUACACACCGCCCGUCGCACCUACCGAUUGAAUGGUCCGGUGAAGUCCUCGGACCCAGUUGAACCUCGAGUUGAACAGGGAAAGUUGACUAAAUCUUACCAUUUAGAGGAAGGUGAAGUCGUAACA
rnacentral:rRNA from 1 species